UACGUAGGGUGCGAGCGUUAAUCGGAAUUACUGGGCGUAAAGCGUGCGCAGGCGGUCUGUUAAGACAGAUGUGAAAUCCCCGGGCUCAACCUGGGAACUGCAUUUGUGACUGCAUCGCUGGAGUGCGGCAGAGGGGGAUGGAAUUCCGCGUGUAGCAGUGAAAUGCGUAGAUAUGCGGAGGAACACCGAUGGCGAAGGCAAUCCCCUGGGCCUGCACUGACGCUCAUGCACGAAAGCGUGGGGAGCAAACAGG
rnacentral:rRNA from 1 species